UACAGAGGGCGCGAGCGUUGUCCGGAAUCACUGGGCGUAAAGGGCGCGUAGGUGGCGGCAUAAGGCCGCGGUGAAAGUCUGGGGCUCAACCCCAGAUCGGCCGCGGCGACUGUGUCGCUCGAGCACGGUAGAGGCAGAUGGAAUUCCGGGUGUAGCGGUGGAAUGCGUAGAGAUCCGGAAGAACACCAGUGGCGAAGGCGGAUCUCUGGGCCAUUACUGACGCUGAGGAGCGAAAGCGUGGGGAGCGAACAGG
rnacentral:rRNA from 1 species